GACGAACGCUGGCGGCGUGCUUAACACAUGCAAGUCGAACGAAGAGCGAUGGAAGCUUGCUUCUAUCAAUCUUAGUGGCGAACGGGUGAGUAACGCGUAAUCAACCUGCCCUUCAGAGGGGGACAACAGUUGGAAACGACUGCUAAUACCGCAUACGAUCUAAUCUCGGCAUCGAGGAUAGAUGAAAGGUGGCCUCUACAUGUAAGCUAUCACUGAAGGAGGGGAUUGCGUCUGAUUAGCUAGUUGGAGGGGUAACGGCCCACCAAGGCGAUGAUCAGUAGCCGGUCGGAGAGGAUGGACGGCCACAUUGGGACUGAGACACGGCUCAGAGUCCUACGGGAGGCAGCAGUGGGGAAUCUUCCGCAAUGGACGAAAGUCUGACGGAGCAACGCCGCGUGAGUGAUGACGGCCGUCGGGUUGUAAAGCUCUGUUAAUCGGGACGAAAGGGCUUCUUGCGAAUAGUGAGAAGGAUUGACGGUACCGGAAUAGAAAGCCACGGCUAACUACGUG
rnacentral:rRNA from 1 species